UGUGUUCUUCUUGAAGAGUGUCAGUCCCUUUCGUCUUAAAAGAUGCAGACAAGCACUUAAAGGCUGUCAAUCAUUUCCCUUGAGGGGAGACAAGAAACUUUUAACAUGAAUUGCCAAUAUUUUUCCACAGUAAGGUCCCAGUGACCAGUAGGCACUUUGAAUUUAAAGGAGGGGGUCCUUCCUCUCAGGUGAGAAGAACUGUGGUCCCAAGAAGGUGGCCUGUGUCUGGUUCCUGCAGCAGGGAGAAAGAAGUGGAAUACAGCGCUCAGAGCAUCCCACAAAAUAACCUUUGCAGCCUGAAUCAGGAUAUAUGCCUCACCCCAGCAGCCUGCCUAUGAGUGUUUUUGGGACAGGCUAGCUCACGUCCAGGUGGCUAGGUCCUGAGACUGAAUUUCUAGGGUCAUCUGGACAGUCUGGCUUCCCUAUCUCUAACUUGGGAAAUGAUUGAUUGCCUGCUCUGAUUUCACAACAGUGACGAUGGCUACUUCCUAAAUAACACCUUAAAAACUGUUCUUACCUGGUUUUAUCUUCAUCAGACUGGCCCACGUGGAUGAGAAUGAAUGUCGGAGAGAGCAUGGUUAUUGAAAAUGUAAAUAAAAUCCACAGUUUCUAAGUUGCUUGGAAGUCACCAGCAUUUUUCUUGAAGCAUUCCUCUGGAGACUGUUUUCGAGGGAAGAGUCUCAUGCUAACUGAAUCUCAGGACACCCCCAAAAUCUUAAUUCUGUUCGCAACAUACCCAUUAUAAUUAGAUGAUGAGCUAUGCGUGUCAGCUUGUGAGGGGGGUGGGCGUGUGGAGAAGAUAAAACAGGCAGAAAGCAUCGGUAGCAGUUAGUGCUUUGAGCUCAAGGAAGCUGCUGGUCUUCUGGCAUCACUGCUAAAUUUUGGAGGGUCUUAGAAGUCUCUAAGUCCAUAGCAUCCUCUUAUAGUGAGAAUCACAGGCUUUCUCCUCAGUGAAUGAAAAUCUAAUAAUAAAUCUGUAUCAACAUAUUGAAGCCACCUCUUUCUGAGAAACCGAGUCCUUUUCUGGGGACUUUAUUUCCGCAAACUCUCC